GACGUUCGAAGACGUCCCUUUAGGAAAUAAAAUGAUACUUUAAUUAGACUUUAAGAAGUCAAAUAAACGUAAACAUGAAUGCAUCCUAAGUGCGUGGUCAUUUUAUUCUUCUUCUUAGUCUUCUAGAAAAGUUCUAGAAAUCUUGAAACAUUAAUUAAAUCGGAAGGUUUAAUUUAUUAUAGAAACUUAAGACAUUAUUCAUUUAACCUUGAGGGUACUACUUUGUACUUUCCAUGUAUUAAAUUAUCAUCUCGGAAUUUAAUUAGCGAACCAUCACAUAAAAAUUGAUUGAGCAACUAGUCCAUUUAAUUUAUUCACUUAGUCCGACUAAGAAAAGAAUAAAUUAGUCCAAUCCUUUAAAUACUUUCAGGCCCAAGCUUCUAAUUAAAUCUUUAGCCCACGCCUUUAUUUAAUUCCUUAGCCCAUAUUUUUAAUUAAAGAGGCCCAAAACAAUGAAUCAAGCCCAACACAUACUCCCCAUCUCCAAAGUCUCUUCUCUCGUUCCCAACACACAAUUCCCAAAUUGAAGAAACAAUCCCUAAAUUGAAAGGGGAUUUAGAUCGAGGAAGGAGCAGCGACGCCUCUUCUUCGCCGUCCGUCGGUAACUGCUCCGGUCAUCAUCUCCGGUGGGCGCUGAAACUCCGGCGACAUCGUCCAUCCCGUCAGAAAUCCUUCAGCUCUCCGUCGAGCUGCGGUCCUUCCGCGUUUCACGCGCCUCUUGCCGAGGUCGCUGCUGGACGGACGGGCUGCUGUAUAGCCGGGACAACUUGCUGUCGGCGCACAGCCUGCCCGCCACCUCGCGUCCUCCCAUCGUUGGUGUCGCGCCGUCGGAGAAGGAGAGGAAGCAUCGCCUCUCUAUCUCUCUGCACACACGGCUCCGCACGGGCGAGCUGCAGUUCUGCCUGCGGCUAUCUCCACCGUCGUCCUCGCAGGUACUAUGCAGAAAACUCUUCCCCCAACUCACUCACACUCACUCUUGCUAUGGUGGCUGAAAAACUUGAAUAAGAGGGAGGGGAUUUUGAGAGUGGUAUGGGGUUCUUAUAGGCAAACCUUGGUGUACUUAGGAGAAUUAAAUGGAGCUGCCAGACUCUUUGUUUUCAUGUUGCAAGUGAAUCGUCCUUUUUAAGAUCUUCACUAAGCUUUUAAUUAAUACAUUCGUCUCUUUCUUGAAGCACAAGUACUCCCUUCAUAAAAUCACUUGUUUGCUUAUUGCAGGGUGGUAUUGUAGGGAAUAGUAGUCUGUAGGUGUUGUUUUGAGAAGGAUGUUGCAGGUAUUGACUUUCCUCUUUUUGAGUAAGUCUUUGGUCUCCUUAAGCAAAGGUAUUGCUGCCAUCUUUCCUUAAGUGUAAGCUGCUGUCGAGAGAGGGGGUUUUAGGGGCUGACCUUGCCAUUCUCAAUUCCCUCUUUAAUAAAGCCUUGUUGUUUCACUUCUCCAAAAAGGAUGUCCCUUAGAUUCCUCUUGUUUGUAGGCAUUUAUUGUUUGUCUUAUCUUGCAGGUGAGGGAAAAGGGCUUGGGUGCUACGCUGCUGUUCGAGACGUGGGCUUGCUGCCCCGGGCCCGAUGGGCUGUUCGGAACGGGCUGUGAUUUGGGCUUGGGAGAAAGAGGCCCAAAGUCCAAGCAUAAUAAGAUUUUAGUUUCUUAAACUCUUUUGGCCCAUUCAUGGUUAUUUGUAAUAGUAUAGUAUCACAUAUUCUUUUCUUUCCAUUCAUAAUUCAUACGUAAGGUGAUCAUGUAAGUUAAUGUAUUAUUCGAGAUGUAAGCGAACACUUUAGUUCGGAAAGGACGUCUUCACAUUCUUUUUCAAAA